UUGCUGUUUUUAUGAUGUACCACAGAAGAGAGAGGUUACAGCUGGGUCCGACAGGUCGCAGCGGACAACUCAGCAAAAUGAAGACAUCUACCAAGACAGUUCCUUUUAACAAAGACCCUUUUGAUCUGAUCAACAACAUGCCUCAUCGCUAUCUCGCACCCCCCAAUGAACCUGCAAGUGAUCACUCAUGUUUCCUGAUUUCAUCACAGACACAAAGAAUGAACGUUGAUCACUCAUGUUUCCUGAUUUCAUCACAGACACAAAGAAUGGUUGCUGAUCACUCAUACUCCUCAUCACACUGUUCC